GACCCCAGGUCANGCGGGAUUACCCGCUGAGUUUAAGCAUAUCAAUAAGCGGAGGAAAAGAAACUUACAAUGAUUCCC
rnacentral:rRNA from 1 species